GCAGCGGUCUUGAAAACCGCCGUAGGUGGAAGCCUACCGUGGGUUCGAAUCCCACCCCGUCCG
rnacentral:tRNA from 1 species